AUUGCCUGGGACACUGGGUUUCCAAAUCGCGCCCUCAAGGCUCUCUGCCUUUGCUGGGGAAAUGGCUAGCGUCCGCCCAGGGGUGGAUUACGUGCUUAGCCUACGUCGCCGUCGCCGGAACAAGGGGCCCGUGAAAGUUGCGGUGUGGCCCUAGGUGUCCUUGUUGCCGGCAAGUAGGUUCUUGACUCCUUGUGGAAGGAAUUCAGAGGCGAGACACGGAGGUCAAGACGGUGAGGUAUCUGAUUCGGGUGCCAAGGCUCAUGGAUGUUGGAAUACAGUCAGCUACGAUCAUGGGUGGUGAGUCUCCAAAUGGAGAGACCAAAUAUUGGCAAAACAAAAGGCAGAUCU